rnacentral:rRNA from 1 species
CCCUUAGAUGUUCUGGGCCGCACGCGCGCUACACUGACGGAGUCAACGAGUUGUCCUGCAUCGGAAGGUGUGGGUAAUCUUUUGAAACUUCGUCGUGCUGGGGAUAGAUCUUUGCAAUUUUCGAUCUUGAACGAGGAAUUCCUAGUAAGCGUGAUUCAUCAGAUCGCGUUGAUUACGUCCCUGCCCUUUGUACACACCGCCCGUCGCUACUACCGAUUGAAUGGUUUAGUGAGGCCUCGGGACUGGCGCGCUCGAGUAGCAAUACACCUGCGCGCCGGGAACUUGGUCAAACUUGAUCAUUUAGAGGAAGCAAAAGUCGUAACA